rnacentral:rRNA from 1 species
UACGGGGGGGGGCAAGCGUUGUUCGGAAUUACUGGGCGUAAAGGGCUCGUAGGCGGCCAACUAAGUCGGAUGUGAAAUCCCCAGGCUUAACCUGGGAACUGCAUCCGAUACUGGAUGGCUUGAAUUCGGGAGAGGGAUGCAGAAUUCCAGGUGUAGCGGUGAAAUGCGUAGAUAUCUGGAGGAAUACCGGUGGCGAAGGCGGCAUCCUGGACCGACAUUGACGCUGAGGAGCGAAAGCUAGGGGAGCAAACAGG